rnacentral:rRNA from 2 species
AGUCGAGCGAAUCUGAGGGAGCUUGCUCCCAAAGAUUAGCGGCGGACGGGUGAGUAACACGUGGGCAACCUGCCUGUAAGACUGGGAUAACUCCGGGAAACCGGGGCUAAUACCGGAUAAUAUCUAUUUAUACAUAUAAUUAGAUUGAAAGAUGGUUCUGCUAUCACUUACAGAUGGGCCCGCGGCGCAUUAGCUAGUUGGUGAGGUAACGGCUCACCAAGGCGACGAUGCGUAGCCGACCUGAGAGGGUGAUCGGCCACACUGGGACUGAGACACGGCCCAGACUCCUACGGGAGGCAGCAGUAGGGAAUCUUCCGCAAUGGACGAAAGUCUGACGGAGCAACGCCGCGUGAGUGAUGAAGGUUUUCGGAUCGUAAAACUCUGUUGUUAGGGAAGAACAAGUAUCGGAGUAACUGCCGGUACCUUGACGGUACCUAACCAGAAAGCCACGGCUAACUACGUGCCAGCAGCCGCGGUAAUACGUAGGUGGCAAGCGUUGUCCGGAAUUAUUGGGCGUAAAGCGCGCGCAGGCGGUUCCUUAAGUCUGAUGUGAAAGCCCACGGCUCAACCGUGGAGGGUCAUUGGAAACUGGGGAACUUGAGUGCAGAAGAGGAAAGUGGAAUUCCAAGUGUAGCGGUGAAAUGCGUAGAGAUUUGGAGGAACACCAGUGGCGAAGGCGACUUUCUGGUCUGUAACUGACGCUGAGGCGCGAAAGCGUGGGGAGCAAACAGGAUUAGA